AGAGUUUGAUCAUGGCUCAGGAUGAACGCUAGCUACAGGCUUAACACAUGCAAGUCGAGGGGAAACGACAUCGAAAGCUUGCUUUUGAUGGGCGUCGACCGGCGCACGGGUGAGUAACGCGUAUCCAACCUGCCCAUCACUUGGGGAUAACCUUGCGAAAGUAAGACUAAUACCCAAUGAUAUCUCUAGAAGGCAUCUGAAAGAGAUUAAAGAUUUAUCGGUGAUGGAUGGGGAUGCGUCUGAUUAGCUUGUUGGCGGGGUAACGGCCACCAAGGCGACGAUCAGUAGGGGUUCUGGAGAGGAAGGUCCCCCANAUUGGAACUGAGACACGGUCCAAACUCCUACGGGAGGCA
rnacentral:rRNA from 1 species